UACGAGGGGGGCAAGCGUUGUUCGGAUUUAUUGGGCGUAAAGGGUGCGUAGGCGGUCUGGCAAGUCUUGUGUGAAAUCUUUGGGCUCAACCCAAAGCCUGCACGAGAAACUGCCGGGCUUGAGUAUGGGAGAGGUAAGCGGAAUUCCUGGUGUAGCGGUGAAAUGCGCAGAUAUCGGGAGGAACACCGGUGGUGUAGACGGCUUUCUGGACCGUAACUGACGCUGAGACACGAAAGCGUGGGUAGCAAACAGG
rnacentral:rRNA from 1 species